UACGACUACAUAUCAGGCAUAUCAAUAAGCGGAGGAAAAGAAACUAACUAGGAUUCCCUUAGUAACGGCGAGUGAAACGGGAAGAGCUCAAAUUUGAAAUCUUCAAGGUUUACCUUGACGAAUUGUAGUUUAAAGAAGUGUUUUCUGUUGGAGUUUUGGUAAAAGUUCUUUGGAAUAGGACAUCAUAGGAGGGUGAGAAUCCCGUAUUUGACCAUUAUUUUCAGCUGUGUGAUACACUUUCAAAGAGUCGGAUUGUUUGGGAAUGCAGUCCAAAAUGGGUGGUAAAUUUCAUCUAAAGCUAAAUAUUGGCGAGAGACCGAUAGCGAACAAGUACCGUGAGGGAAAGAUGAAAAGAACUUUGAAAAGAGAGUUAAACAGUACGUGAAAUUGUCAAAAGGGAAGCGUUUGACACCAGUGUUGUUUUCUCGAAAAUCAAUUAAAAAUGGCUUGAUUUUGUGUUGUAUUGACUUUAUCAGCUUUCUGCACUCUUUUCUUGUCUUUUUUAAUGCACUUUUCGUUUAACGAGUCAACAUCAAUUUCUUUUGUUGUAAAAGGGUCAUUGGAAGGUGGCUUUCUUUUCGGAGAAAGUGUUUAUAGCCUUUGGCCUCUGCAAUCGGAGAGAUUGAGGUCUGCAGCGUAGAUCCUUCGGGGUUAGAUACAUUUGUGCUAAGUUAUAGCCUUUCAUAGACAACUUGUUGACUAUGAUCAGUCAUGUAGCUUACUCGCUUAUGCUAUUUUACCUACGCUUAGGAUGUUGAGCGCAUGUCUCUCUCU
rnacentral:rRNA from 1 species